rnacentral:lncRNA from 1 species
UAUAAUAAUUAGGCAUGUAAUAAAACUAUCUCAAUUAUUUAAUUUCAAAUCUACUCCACUAAAAGAUUGGAAUUGACCUCCUUAAUUGUAUACUCGAAUAAUAAUUUGUCCCAAGCCACAUCGAUUUCUUUACUGCAUAAUCUUUUGUACCACAUCGUUAAUUAAAUUGAUAUCUCAACUGUCCAAUCGAUUUAAUUAAAUCUUAUUUCUUGAUACUUAUUGGUUUUCACUAAUGAUCAUUUUCAACAUACUAAAUAUGUUCACACACUCUGGCCAUGGAAUUCUAUGAUCAAGUGCCGAAAACUCAUCAAAAGAGUGUUAUACAAAUUCUAUAUUGUUAAUCUAUAACUCCAAUACUCAUAAUUGCUCUCACCAAGAUAUCGGGUAAUCUUGACCGCAAGUGUGUGUCGUGCCCAUUGGUAAAUCAAAUAGAAUAACAAUUACAAUCAUGAAAUCAUAACUAACUCAAGAUUAAGAUUACAGUAAAAUCAAUGCUUAUGAGAUUUAAUAAGUCUGACAGUCAUUUCAAGGUUAAUGAAAUCUCAUAUGUGAUCCAGUUCAAUGUAGUCAAACUACAUUGAGCAAAUUCAUAUAUGAUUAAAACAAAUCAUUCAAUGAAUUUACUACAGUCUAAACAUAAAUAGAGCAUCCAACUCUAUUUAUCAACUGCGAACUAAAUUUAUUUAAUCAUAAGAUAACUUGUAUUUAUAUCUUCUGUGAAUCCAUAUGAUGAUCACAUAAAUACAUAUAAUAUUAUUAAACGGACCUUAUUCAAUAUAUAUUUAUGCAAUUGAAAAUAUCUCAAAUAUUUUAUUAAUCGAAAAAUAAAUUAAUAUGCUUUAAAAGAGCAUAUAAUCCCAACAAAUCUCACUCCAUGAACCCAAUUUUUUAAAUAUAUUUUUUAUUAAUUUUGUAAUUAAAAACUAUAAUUCUUUAAAUAAGGGUAAAAUUAUAAAUAUUUAAAAUUAUUUACUCCCAAUCCAAGACAAGGUAAUCACAUAAACUCAAUUCUGAUUCCGAUUUCAUAUUCUUAUUCAAAUAUAAAUAAACAACAUACUCUCACUCUUACUCCACCCUCACAAUUUUAAAAUUUCCACUUCAAUUCAAAAUGUAAACACUACCUAAUUAGAAUUUCUUAAUCUCUUCCAUUUAUGGGUUUGACCAAAGUUACUUUCACCUUAUUUAAUCAUUAAAUAGUUUUAGUAUAUAGAUAUCAAUGGAAAAUAAAUAAAUAAAGUUCAUAAGCCAACAAAAAUGUUGUUAAAUAAUGAUACCCUUUCGAAACUUUUUAUAAUUCAGUGGACACCUUGGGAUUCUUACUAAUUAUAUUUUGUCAAUAUUAUGAUGAAGAUAAUGUAGCUGAAAAUUACCCUUUAUUUUUUAAUGAAAUUAUUGUCUUAAUUUAUUGGUUAUUUGGCGUUUAUCUUCACUUGUUUUUGUCACGGAGUUGAUAGAUGGAUUGACAUAGUUGAAAAUUGAUAAAAUAAACAGUUAGAUAUUAACGAAUACAACAUUGACGAGGUGACACUCUUAAUUAUUUUGAGAAAACUAAAUGUAUAAAUCAUCAAAAUAUUAUCAUUUUUUUCUGAAACUUCCUUUGAUGAAAUUAAAAUCUAAAUGGGUACACUACAUGUUUCAAUUGUGGAAUUGUGACAUCAUAUGGUGCAUCGUCAUAACAAAAAAUGGAAAACUAUAUACAUCACAUCCCAUCGGAGGAAAUACAAAUGAAAUUAAUAGAACUUGUAAGUAAUGCUGGUAAAGAAGAUCAAAGAAAUAUGGUGUAGAGACCACGGAAUAUUCAUCUUGGUCUGAUAAAGUGAUAAUAUUAAUUAAUAUGUAUCACAAAAAUGAGGGACUAUAACUCAAUCAGAUAGAGCGGAAUUCUCUAGCAAUGGUGCCUUUAAACUACAAUUCUAAAAUAUCUAGAUUAAGUUAAUUUGCAACGUUAGUCAGAAGUGAUUAAUAUAAUUUUACCCUACAGUUGUUUGAGAUAAAUAAUAAUAAUAAUAAUAAUAAUAACUGUGAAGUAAGAUUAUGUACAAAAAUGUCAAAACAUUUAGUAUAAACUAGUAUGAUAUAACAUUAAUAUUGAUUGAAUGAAAACAGCAUGCAACUCAUAUACUCUAAUUAUUACCGUCCGAAAAUUUGAUGGAACCAAACACUUCAAACUUCGGUUCUUUUUACUUAAAGUGAAUCUAGUCAACCUUAGGCGGCUCUUGGAAACAAACGAACGGUUCUUAUAUAUGCUGCCCUCUCAGUUAGAUUUUUAAUGAUAUUCCGUUAAUUUCUGUUAUUCAUGCAACACAAUGGAGUUUACUUUUGUUAACAGUUAGCCGCAACAAGAAAAUUCCAAACUCUUUCAAUAUACAUUUUUGAAUUAUUAUUUUAUCAUUCUUUUAAGAUAGAGAAGAGCAUAGCUAAGUUAAUUUUCUAAUCUCUUUAACAUUCGAAUUUAGAUGUUUAGUCAAAUAAAACUAUUUGAAAACUACUCGAUUAAAUUCCGCUAAUCGCUAAAAUUUUCUUAUAAAUUGCAUGCCAAUAAAACCCUUUCCCUUCAUCGCCAAACUAGUAAUAGAUUGAGAAAACAAAGAAAUAUGUCUGAAGUGAAGAUACCAAACAUCGGAAUUCAUGUGUUUGUCUUCGCAAUCAUCUUCCUUAGCCUCGUUUUUUUCUCUACCCGCCGCGGCCCCAGCGGCCGUGGGGCGGUGAUUCCGGUGGAGAAAUCCUGCAUACAUGGCUGGUUUUGUGCUUAUGUCAAGCACCACAGUCGAGUGUUAAUGACGUGGCAAAUAAAACUGCAGUGCUCAAUUUGUUACUAUAAUAAGGUGCUCUACUAUAAAUAUCCUUGUAUUCUCAGCAUUAUGUAGAUCAUAUUCGCAAUUCUCAGUUAAUAUAUAAAAUUUUUCUUUCAUCUCUCAGAUUUUCCUUUCCAUUUUCUCUCGGUCAUUUUCUCAGCUAACAAGCACUGCUACAAGUGUUUGAUAUUUUCUAUUGAUUACUUGUUUCAGCUCUCCUCUGUUUAGAUGCACAAGUUUAAAUUAUAGAGGUUUAGAUUAAAUUUAUUUUCUCCAUGUGCACAUCUAUUUUCCCUCCCUGUGCAAUUUUCAUAGAAGCACAAUCUUUGCAGGCUGAUC